UCGAGUCCAUCAGAGGUCAAGACAAAGUUUAUGUUUUGACCACCAAACUCAAUUGAAGUUGCUGUAAUACUGACGAGCCCGGUGCUUUCGCAAACACAAAAAGCUUAAACCCUGAAUCCCAGAAUCCCCUCUUCGCCCCUUCUCUCUAAUCCUUCCUCUAAAACCCUAGCGAUGGCGUCCGAUGCUUCCUCAGCGUUACAAGUGAGGCAGAGAGUUCAGAACUUCCUCAAUGCCGCUCAGACCGGGAACCUUGAUCUCUUUAAGAAGCUGGCGAUGCAGCUUGACGAUGGGAAAGGGCUGGCGAAGACGGUGGGCGGAGGAUGUUUAAGG